rnacentral:rRNA from 1 species
UACGUAGGGGGCAAGCGUUGUCCGGAAUCAUUGGGCGUAAAGAGCGCGCAGGCGGCCGUGCAAGUCGAGUGUGAAAGCCCCCGGCUCAACUGGGGAGGGUCACGCGAUACUGCUCGACUCGAAGGCAGGAGAGGGAAGUGGAAUUCCCGGUGUAGUGGUGAAAUGCGUAGAUAUCGGGAGGAACACCAGUGGCGAAGGCGACCUCCUGGCCUGUUCUUGACGCUGAGGCGCGAAAGCUAGGGUAGCAAACGGG